GACGAACCGUGCGAACGUUAUUCGGAAUCACUGGGCUUAAAGGGCGCGUAGGCGGGCCUGAAAGUCAGGGGUGAAAGCCCCAGCUUAACUGGGGAAGUGCCUCUGAUACUUCAGGCCGUCGAGGGAGGUAGGGGCGUGCGGAACUUCCGGUGGAGCGGUGAAAUGCGUAGAUAUCGGAAGGAACGUCGGUGGCGAAGCGGCGCGCUGGACCUCUUCUGACGGCUGAGGCGCGAAAGCCAGGGGAGCGAACGGG
rnacentral:rRNA from 1 species